CUUGGCGCUGGUGUAGCGGUUCGGGUCGUCCCCGAACUCACCGAGCACCCGGGCGCCGAGGAUGACACCAAGUCCUGGCAGG
rfam:Mycobacterium thermoresistibile ATCC 19527 contig46, whole genome shotgun sequence.